rnacentral:sRNA from 1 species
UCUCCCAUCCGAGUACUAACCAGGCCCGACCCUGCUUAACUUCCGAGAUCAGAUGAGAUUGGGAGCGUUCCUGGUGGCAUGGCCGUAGAC